ACCAAUUCUGGCAAGAAGAAAGUAACAGGUUAAAGAAUAAGUUAAAAGUCUGAGGUCACAAAUUCUAUUCUAAAGAAGCUCUGAAUACCUCGAGCAGAUGCCACAAGCAAAGCUUACCCUAGGAAGUAGAAAAAGCAACAACAACAAACAUAUAACAAAAGGUGUCGAGGCACACUCAGGUGGUCCCCAACACACUUGAGAACUGGAGGAAGGAGGAUCAAGACUUUAAGGUUAUCCUUGGCAACAUGAGACUCUAUCAAAAAAGAAAAGAAAAGUGUAUAUUUCACUAGAUAUCUGUAACAACCUUGUGAGGGGAACCAGAAGACUUGAAGACAAGAAAAACAUAAAGACGGAUUACAAACCUUUAUAUGCUGGAGCAGGUGGUGCUGUUGCCACUUUCCUGACUUUUGUUGUCACUGAGUUAUCAACA